GGACGGGGUUUUGCUUUGUAGGAGGUUGGCGACCUUUCUGUGGUGGUGCGGAGGCUUCACAUGGCCGGAGAUGGGAGAUCGGAGGAGAGAGAGAGAGUCGCCGGCGAGAGGAGAGAGAGGCUCUGGGUUAUACUACGGUGUGAACGCUAGCACGGUGCACCGGUGCAGCUGAAGCCUGUGAGCCGUUGGAUCUCUAAUGAAAAG
rnacentral:lncRNA from 1 species